UUCUCAAAGGAUGUGCUGGCAACUUAUACUUGCAUGUUGCACAUCUUGACUAUCAUUCACCUGAUGCACAUUCUGUAGACGGAGAUAGUAAUGCUAUCUAUUGUCUAUGAUUUUUUAUACACCCUGCUUAAAUAAAAUUGUAUGUUUUUAAAAAUCAAUACAACUUUCAACAAUGGAUCUCUUGGUUCUCGCAUCGAUGAAGAACGCAGCGAAUUGCGAUAUGUAAUGUGAAUUGCAGAAUUCAGUGAAUCAUCGAAUCUUUGAACGCACAUUGCACCCUCUAGUAUUCUGGAGGGUAUGCCUGUUUGAGUGUCAUUAAUCUAUCAACCCAACAAAGAUGUAAAUCUUGUUUGGUGCUUGGAUAAUGAAGGUUGCUGGGUUAACAUCAGCUCCUUUUAAAUGCAUUAGCAGAACUUUGUAUCAGCUUUGGUUUGAUAAUAAUAUUAUCCGUGUCGUUGCUGGUAAACAAUGGUUCAGCUUCAAAUUGUCUCAGUGAUGAGACUGUCCAAUCUAUGGGCAUUAUUUUGACUUGACCUCAAAUCAGGUAGGACUACCCGCUGAACUUAAGCAUA
rnacentral:rRNA from 1 species